rnacentral:rRNA from 1 species
CUACGGGGUGCAGCAGUGAGGAAUAUUGCACAAUGGGGGGAACCCUGAUGCAGCAACGCCGCGUGGAGGAUGACGCAUUUCGGUGUGUAAACUCCUUUUAUAUGUCAAGAAAAUGACGGUAGCAUAUGAAUAAGCACCGGCUAACUCCGUGCCAGCAGCCGCGGUAAUACGGAGGGUGCAGGCGUUACUCGGAAUCACUGGGCGUAAAGGACGCGUAGGCGGGUUGGAAAGUCAGGUGUGAAAUACUACAGCUUAACUGUAGAACUGCACUUGAAACUUCUAAUCUAGAGUAUGGGAGGGGGAGAUGGAAUUAGUGGUGUAGGGGUAAAAUCCGUAGAUAUCACUAGGAAUACCUAAAGCGAAGGCGAUCUCCUGGAACAUUACUGACGCUAAGGCGUGAAAGCGUGGGGAGCAAACAGGAUUAGAUACCCCCGUAGUC